rnacentral:rRNA from 1 species
GAUGAACGCUGGCGGCGUGCUUAACACAUGCAAGUCGAACGAAGCACUUAAGAUUGCUUCUUCGGAUGACGUCUUUUGUGACUUAGUGGCGGACGGGUGAGUAACGCGUGGGUAACCUGCCUCACACAGGGGGAUAACAGUUAGAAAUGACUGCUAAUACCGCAUAACCCGAUAGGAUCGCAUGAUCCAGACGGAAAAGAUUUAUCGGUGUGAGAUGGACCCGCGUCUGAUUAGCUAGUUGGUGAGGUAACGGCCCACCAAGGCGACGAUCAGUAGCCGGCCUGAGAGGGUGAACGGCCACAUUGGGACUGAGACACGGCCCAAACUCCUACGGGAGGCAGCAGUGGGGAAUAUUGCACAAUGGGGGAAACCCUGAUGCAGCGACGCCGCGUGAGUGAAGAAGUAUUUCGGUAUGUAAAGCUCUAUCAGCAGGGAAGAAAAUGACGGUACCUGACUAAGAAGCCCCGGCUAACUACGU